GACGAACGCUGGCGGCGUGCCUAAUACAUGCAAGUCGAGCGAAGUUUUUCUGGUGCUUGCACCGGAAAAACUUAGCGGCGAACGGGUGAGUAACACGUAAAGAACCUGCCUCAUAGACUGGGACAACUAUUGGAAACGAUAGCUAAUACCUGAUAACAGCAUUAACUGCAUGGUUGAUGUUUAAAAGUUGGUUUUGCUAACACUAUGAGAUGGCUUUGCGGUGCAUUAGCUAGUUGGUGGGGUAAAGGCCUACCAAGGCGACGAUGCAUAGCCGACCUGAGAGGGUGAUCGGCCACACUGGGACUGAGACACGGCCCAGACUCCUACGGGAGGCAGCAGUAGGGAAUCUUCCGCAAUGGGCGAAAGCCUGACGGAGCAACGCCGCGUGAGUGAAGAAGGAUUUCGGUUCGUAAAGCUCUGUUGUUAGGGAAGAAUGAUUGUGUAGUAACUAUACACAGUAGAGACGGUACCUAACCAGAAAGCCACGGCUAACUACGUG
rnacentral:rRNA from 1 species